rnacentral:rRNA from 1 species
AUACCUACGGGAGGCAGCAGUAGGGAGUCUUCCACAAUGGACGAAAGUCUGAUGGAGCAACGCCGCGUGAGUGAAGAAGGGUUUCGGCUCGUAAAGCUCUGUUGGUAGUGAAGAAAGAUAGAGGUAGUAACUGGCCUUUAUUUGACGGUAAUUACUUAGAAAGUCACGGCUAACUACGUGCCAGCAGCCGCGGUAAUACGUAGGUGGCAAGCGUUGUUCGGAAUUACUGGGUGUAAAGGGAGCGUAGGCGGGAAACCAAGU